rnacentral:tRNA from 1 species
UCCCCGAUAGCUCAAUUGGUAGAGUGAGCGGCUGUUAACCGCUAGGUUGCUGGUUCGAGUCCAGCUCGGGGAG